rnacentral:rRNA from 1 species
CCUACGGGAGGCAGCAGUGGGGAAUAUUGCACAAUGGGGGAAACCCUGAUGCAGCGACGCCGCGUGAGUGAAGAAGUAUUUCGGUAUGUAAAGCUCUAUCAGCAGGGAAGAAAAUGACGGUACCUGAUUAAGAAGCCCCGGCUAACUACGUGCCAGCAGCCGCGGUAAUACGUAGGGGGCAAGCGUUAUCCGGAUUUACUGGGUGUAAAGGGAGCGUGGACGGCAGCACAAGUCUGGAGUGAAAUGCCGGGGCUUAACCCCGGAACUGCUUUGGAAACUGUGCAGCUAGAGUGCAGGAGAGGUGAGUGGAAUUCCUAGUGUAGCGGUGGAAUGCGUAGAUAUUAGGAGGAACACCAGUGGCGAAGGCGGCUUACUGGACUGUAACUGACGUUGAGGCUCGAAAGCGUGGGGAGCAAACAGGAUUAGAUACCCCUGUAGUC